UACGGAGGGUGCAAGCGUUAUCCGGAUUCACUGGGUUUAAAGGGUGCGUAGGUGGGUUGAUAAGUCAGUGGUGAAAUCCCCGAGCUUAACUUGGGAACUGCCAUUGAUACUAUUGAUCUUGAAUACCUGGAGGUCAGCGGAAUAUGUCAUGUAGCGGUGAAAUGCUUAGAUAUGACAUAGAACACCAAUUGCGAAGGCAGCUGGCUACGCGAAUAUUGACACUGAUGCACGAAAGCGUGGGGAUCAAACAGGAGU
rnacentral:rRNA from 1 species